AAACCUUGUCUGUGUUUCUGGGACCUUGAAGUGAAAAUAUUAUGUAAGUUCNGUUUAAUAUCUGAUAUGUUCUCGAUAUGAGAACUGUCUAUUAAACAAAUUUUUGGAACAGGGAGUUGGAUUAGGAGCUUGCUCUGUCCACUCCACGCAUCCGCCUGGUAUUGCAGUACUUCUGGGCAGGGUGCACUUCCC
rnacentral:snRNA from 1 species